AUGAAUACAGUGCUGCAAAGCCUCAGAGGCAGCGGGCAACAGCCUUCGUCUAUCACCUGCUGCUUUCAGAUUCCUAGGGCUUCCAAUUCCAGCUCUGUGACUUACUACUUUAGUGGCCUCAGAAAUGUCCCUCUCUGGAUUUACUCCCUCUUCAGUGACGUGGAUGCCAUGACUUCUGCAUCUGCCUCCACAAUUGUCCACCCUCAGGCCAUCGUGGAGGCACAGACCCUCGGCCUUACUAGAAGAUCAUGUAUAACUACUUAUCCCUUGAACUGGAAUAAUGUAAGGAAGGCAAAUGUUCCAAAGGGUGCGUAUUUUUGUGAAACUCAAACAUAUUCCUACGGUAUUGAGCCCAUGGACAAAUCUAAAGCUACUUGUAAUUUAAAUCUAAAGGUAAGGGGAAAAAAAAAUAAAGGUAAGGGGAGAAGAGUCAAGAUGAAUAUGAGGUUCCUGGGAUAAUUACUACUUACUGAUUCACCAAUUCAUAUAACAAAUGAGCUUUGUAUCUCUUAGAAUUAAAUUAGGCUGUAAACAAUGACAAGCACAUAGCAGUUUGUUUUUUUUUCUUAUAACAAGAAUUGAUAUAUGAUGGCCACUCAUGCCCCCAUGUGUUCCAACUCUGUCACCUGUGGCCAUCUGCCUUUCACGUUCAUGGUCACAGGAUGGCUGUGACCAUCUCCAGCAUGGGCAUCAGGUUCAUGGAAAGGCUGAGGGCAUAAAGCCAAGGUUCCUACCAGCUGAGCUUUCCCUUUUACAAAGAAGCCCACCCUGUGAUCUCAGAACACAUCACAUGGACUUCUGCUUCCAGGAACUUCUCCAUGUUCCUCCUGCUAAGUACAGCUGAAAACUUUGGACAUUGUAUUUAAAACAAAUAUAAGAGGACUCUGAACCAUGGACAGAAGAAGACAGACCAGCUGGGGACCUCAGGACUCAAGGAACAAAACAGUUGGUGAGUUCCCCGGGCUUUCUUCUUGCCUGGUGUAUUUCAGAUCUGGACCAAAGAGGUUGGCAACCAGGAAACUCCAAAAGGCACAGACAAAAAGCCCAGAGAAAGCCUUUUCUCUCUUAACAAAGGAUCAGGGAGAUGGCAGCUUAGAAACACAGAAAUCUUUUGGAUAGCAACCUCUCUACUCAGCCAAAUAGCACAGAAAAAUCUGUGCCCCUCCCCACAAAAUUGUAACAAUGCGUCCCAACACACACACACUUGUACACACACACACACACAUCCCAGAUGGUGUCAGAGUAGGCUAAUGAGAAGCCACAAGCUUCGUUACUGCUGACUGGUCAUGCAGUCCCACUCCAAGGUGUCAGAGGAGACCAGGUAGGACCACCAUCCUCACCUGGCAGUAAGGAGGAGCCCUCACAAGCAUGGAGUAUCAUUGGAGAUGAUAGGGGAACCUGAGCCCCUCCUUCACCUGGCUAUUACGGGAAGUCCCUCCACCCCUGCCAGAGUGGUGUC
rnacentral:lncRNA from 12 species